rnacentral:sRNA from 1 species
CCCCAGUGUGAGGAUUCUUCGAACCAAGAAACGGGAAGGGCUGAUAAGGACCCGAAUGCUGGGGGCCUCAGUGGCAACUGGGGAUGUCAUCACAUUCUUGGAUUCACACUGUGAAGCCAAUGUCAACUGGCUUCCCCCCUUGCUCGACCGCAUUGCUCGGAACCGCAAGACCAUUGUGUGCCCGAUGAUUGAUGUAAUUGACCAUGACGACUUUCGGUACGAGACACAGGCAGGGGAUGCCAUGCGGGGAGCCUUUGACUGGGAGAUGUACUACAAGCGGAUCCCGAUCCCUCCAGAACUGCAGAAAGCUGACCCCAGCGACCCAUUUGAGUCUCCCGUGAUGGCCGGUGGACUGUUCGCCGUGGAUCGGAAGUGGUUCUGGGAACUCGGCGGGUAUGACCCAGGCUUGGAGAUCUGGGGAGGGGAGCAGUAUGAAAUCUCCUUCAAGGUGUGGAUGUGUGGGGGCCGCAUGGAGGACAUCCCCUGCUCCAGGGUGGGCCAUAUCUACAGGAAGUAUGUGCCCUACAAGGUCCCGGCCGGAGUCAGCCUGGCCCGGGGAUGGGGAACAUGAAACGUGAUGUUGGCGAUGGAAACAUUAAGUAACUAGUGCCAGAAUUCAAACCCGUGUAGGUCUGACAGGUACCUGGCACAUAGCAAUUGUUCCUUAAACAGUGACUGCUAUUAUUAGUGUUAGCAUCAAUAUUAACAAUAAAGACUGGAACAUGUAUUUAAAAGUCUUAUCUA